AAGAAAAAGUGUGGGAUUUCAAAGGAUUAAGCUAAUAAAGGUGGUGAGUCAUCCGACAAAGGUAAGAAAAUUGUACCCGAUGAUCGAUAAUCGAAGUACUUUAGAAAUUCGACUUCCGAAAUAGCUCAGAAUAGUCUGUAGAUAGCUCAUUUCAUCGAGGAUUACAAUUGGACAAGCAUCCUCAAAAUAUGUAGGUUUAUCUCUCUAGAUACUUUUGGUCAUUCGUGGGCCCACAUGUCACUACAAAAUUUAAUUUUGUACUUUGAUUAUCUGUAUUACAA